CAGCUACAUGGUUAACCGUAGUAAUUCUAGAGCUAAUACAUGGGAAAAGACCCGACUUUUUGGAGGGUUGUGUUUAUUAGAUAUGUUAACUGACGGCCCUUUAGUGGGAGAAGUUGGUGAAUCAUGAUAAAUGUUUUACGGAUCGCAUUUGUCCGCAAGGAUGGCGAUGGAUCAUUCAAGUUUCUGCCCUAUCAACUUUCGACGGUUAGGUAUUGGCUAACCGUGGUGACCACGGGUAACGGGGGAU
rnacentral:rRNA from 1 species